rnacentral:rRNA from 1 species
UUAAUACAGUUUUGAUCAUAACAACUCGAAGUAAAGCGAUCUAAAUAUGAGCAGGUUGAUUUUAUCGCUACCCGAUAAAUUGAAGACCGAAGCUAUUAGUGUGGCAAAACUAUUGUAUGACUUGUAUUUAGGAGUGAUAGGCUAAUCAAGCUUUACUAUAGCUAGUUUUUGGCGAAAUGGAUUAUAGUCCAGCAUACAGUUAUAAGCAUUAAGAGUGUAAAGAAUUCUCAGAAAACAGUGUUGAGCUGAUCAAUAUAUAAUUUCUGAUAACUUUGAAUACUUAAAGACUAUGCUGUAUAGUGAGACUUUAGGCGUUAAGGUUUAAAGUCAAAUGGGAAACAACCCACAAAUAAAGCUAAGGUCUUUAAAUACAUUUUUUUGAGUGGUAUCAAUCGUGUUUAUACAUUAACAAUUUUUAUCUUGGCUUGGAAGCAGCCAUGAUUGCAAGAAAGCGUAGUUGCUCAACAAAUUAGUAUAUAUGCAUUCAAGAUUUACGAGUCUUAAAUAUGUUACCGAUGCUUAUUUAUUUUUUUAUCCGCGUAGUUUAAAAGCUUUUUAAAAUAGUAUUAAUUACAUGCAACAACAACAAAAGA